GUACGUUUGCAUCCAUAUUUAACACUUAUUGCAAGCCAGCAAAUAGAUAAUUUGGGUUGUAUCGGUAAACAAGACUAGGGUUUGAAAUAUUCAAUAUGUGGGCUUGUACUAUUGCCAUAGUUUGGAUGUUGUUAUUAAUAGACAUUUGGUCGUAUUUAAUAACCCUUUUGGCAUAAGUCAUAUGAAGAAUAUAAUAUAUUUACAUACCCGCCUGUUUUAGGACCUUUAUGAGAGUAAUUUGCUCUGGAAUUUCAACUAAGGAAGAGAUUUCUGUUGGCAUUUGCCAACUAUACAAUGGAACGACAUGCAGUAAAUAUUUGUCGAAUAAAAGCGUUUUUAUACCUCCAAACUUUACUCUGGAGGAUUUUGAAGAAAGAUUGCGUGCAGCGUAUGGAGUUAUAAAGGAAUCGAAAUUAGUAUUAAGAAAGUGCAAAUAGAAAAAAAUGUGGCAGUGAAAUGGACUCAUGAGGCUGUAGAACAUCUAAAUGUAUACGUGCAACAACAUCCCUGUUUAUAUAACUGUCGUUCCCCUGAGUAUUUGGACAGGGUUAAAAAGGCCCAAGUAUGGUCAAAAGUUGGGGACGGAUUGUUAAAAUAUGAUGGUUCCCUACAUGUAAAGGAGGCCCAGCGAAAAUGGAGGAAUUUAAGAGUGCAAUUUAUGCAGGACCAAAGGCUUCUCGCAAACUCAAGGAAAAGUGGCGCAGGAAAUGGCUAUCUCUAUUCACCUAAGCUAUGGUGCUAUGAUCAUUUAUGCCUCUUAAAAACGCAUAACAUUGAGGAAAGUUUUCGCUAAAGGCGUCAUGAUAUAUGUAUAUAAUUAUUAUGUACUUACAUUUUCAGAACACAGUUCCGGAACACAUUGUAAAGGAUGUGAGCAAGGGUCAUGUAGAAGAUGUGUGCGAGGAUCAUGCGAAAGAUGUAAACGAGGAUUAUAAAUAUACCCAAGAACUACCAAAGAAGAAGCUUAAAGUAAAUCUUGUAUCCUUCAGAAGCUUUGCUUUUCCCUUGAACACAAUGAAUAAUUUUAGAAAUGGCCUAAAUGUACUUAGGAAAGUUUUAUCUGAAAAGAAGAAAUUAAAGUUUGCAUGGUUGGGCAAUUUUGUUGCUGGGCAAAUGGAGGAAAUUAGUGUGGAACAUCAAAACGAAGCUGGAUGGCAAGUUCAGUGCCUUAUGAGGGAACUUAUAAGCAAACCACAAAAUAUCAGUCCACAAUCACUAAAAGACGUUUUGGAACUAUUAUUUAUUUAUGGAGGGGGUGUUCGUUGAAG